GGUAAUUUAACACCUAUUGUUCUACGUUUUCAUUCAUAUAUAUAUUAGUGCAUAUCUAUGUCACAACUGUAUUUUUAUGGUCUUUUAUUUGAAAUUCAGAAGGAAUCGCUUAGUGUUCUGUCUCUGGCUCCUUUUUCAUAUCGUUUUAUUCUAUUGAUAUUUCAAAGGUUUCCCAAUUAAUAAGUUGACAGAUGAAAAUGAUAUUUAUGUGAGUUGUCACUGAAUUAUGUUUAGGGUACUAAUUUUAGUUUCUUUGUACUUAUGUUCUGUACCAGGUAGAGUGCAAUGCCGUUUGAUUUUCUCAAUUUGGCAUAAUGAUUGGUUUUUUAGGAAAUACAUUCUGGAAAUUUUGCUUGAUGAUUCUUCUGCCAUGAUUUAUGUGGAUCGCUAAAGUAACAUUACUAUUCAUUUUUCAUGUGGUGUGUUGUUGGCUAGACUUAGUUUAUUGUGUAUAAAAAUAGAUCAACCAUUCAAAUACCUUUUAUGUGUUAUAAGAGCAAGAAACAACAUUUGAUUAGUAUUAGUUUCUGUGAGCAUUGCUUUAUUUAUAACGAGCAAACAAUACUCUUUGCUAUAUAGCAUUUCUGCCUACCAUCUAAAACUGAGCACCUCUUUUGUAGGGAAUGAUUUUUGUGGCAUCCAUUCACUGGCACACUAGGUCUCCCAGUGCCGCCUUAUCGCUGAUUCAAUCCUAGCUGCCGCAUCACCAUUCUUGAUGUCACCACCACCGCGACAAGGUUGUGGUCAUGUCCUCAGGUAAAUAUUCACCGGAGAAAAACUACAGGCAGAUAUCGUAGUUCCUAUGUUCAACUGGUUGUAGCCUGCCGUGCAUAUGUUUUGUUGAAAUUAUGAAGGUAUUAAUUAUUGUAUUUGAUGUUUAUUUCUGAUUGCUUUCUCAUUGCAUUAUUUUUCACAGUUACAGAUUGCUGUGUACUUUGAUUUUUCUUCACCAUGACUUCUUAACCUCAUGUCAGUAAUCAUUUCAUCAUUUUAUUGGCUCCGUUCUGUCUUUCCACAUUCUAUAAUAAGUAUAUGCCGGUUUUAAAUAAAGUUCUUGCUCAGCUUAAGGGAAAAAGUACCAUGUAAGUGAGAGAUAUAUUUCACCACCUUUGGCUCUCUAUUCACCUAUGCAGUAACAGAUUGGUUAAAACUGGCAGUAUUCACUGCCUUAUCUAUCCAUAAAUUAGCUAGAGCCAAAUAUUUUGUCCUACAGAAGCAUAUUUUAUUUGUUUUUUCCAUAUUAAGAAUAGUGAUUUUCGUAAUUUUACUGUACUAAAAUAUUGAUGCGAUGUGUUUCCCAAAAGGAAACUUAGUAAUCAGUCACAAAUUAUACAUAGACAUACCUGUGAAUCAUGCAGAUUGCACACCUUCAGGACUUGGUCUUUUCUUUUGCUAAACACUUCAUGGAUGCACAUAUUAAUAUUUAUCCACAUUAGGUUAUUUCAGCACGAGAGUAGUUGAUACCGUUGUUUCCGACUCAGGAUUUGCAGCUUCCGUCAUCAGCGAGAGAUGAUAGCUGGGAAUGUCGGUGUUCUGUGCUGUUGAGUUAUGGGUGAGCCAACUAAUUGUGGAUGACAAAUAAAGUGUCAG